GAGCCCGUAGCUCAGCCGGUAGAGCACGUGACUUUUAAUCAUGGGGUCUCGGGUUCGAAUCCCGACGGGCUCACCA
rnacentral:tRNA from 31 species